rnacentral:rRNA from 1 species
ACNUGCAGUCGAGGGGCAGCACGGUUAGCAAUAACUGGUGGCGACCGGCGCACGGGUGCGUAACACGUAUACAAUCUGCCUCCAACAUGGGGAUAGCCCGGAGAAAUUCGGAUUAAUACCCAGUAACAAAUUUUAUGGCAUCAUAAGAUUUUGAAAGCUACGGCGGUUGGAGAUGAGUAUGCGUCUGAUUAGCUAGUAGGUGAGGUAACGGCUCACCUAGGCUACGAUCAGUAGGGGAUCUGAGAGGACUACCCCCCACACUGGUACUGAGACACGGACCAGACUCCUACGGGAGGCAGCAGUAAGGAAUAUUGGACAAUGCCCGCAAGGGUGAUCCAGCCAUGCCGCGUGCAGGAAGAAGGCCCUAUGGGUCGUAAACUGCUUUUGAACCAGAGAAAACCCCUUUACGUGUAAAGGGCUGAUAGUAUGGUUAGAAUAAGCAUCGGCUAACUUCGUGCCAGCAGCCGCGGUAAGACGAAGGAUGCAAGCGUUAUCCGGAUUCAUUGGGUUUAAAGGGUGCGUAGGCGGCCCGAUAAGUCAGUGGUGAAAGCCUGUUGCUUAACAACAGAACUGCCAUUGAUACUGUCAGGCUUGAGUACAGUUGCUGUGGGCGGAAUAUGACAUGUAGUGGUGAAAUACAUAGAGAUGUCAUAGAACACCGAUUGCGAAGGCAGCUCACAAAACUGUAACUGACGCUGAGGCACGAAAGUGCGGGGAUCAAACAGGAUUAGAUACCCUGGUAGUCCGCACCGUAAACGAUGAUUACUCGCUGCUAGAGGGCAACUUUUAGUGGCUUANCGAAAGCGAUAAGUAAUCCACCUGGGGAGUACGCCGGCAACGGUGAAACUCAAAGGAAUUGACGGGGGCCCGCACAAGCGGAGGAGCAUGUGGUUUAAUUCGAUGAUACGCGAGAACCUUACCAGGGCUUGAAAGUUAAGNAAUGAUUUUGAAAGANAUCAGUCAGCAUGACNAAAACU